rnacentral:misc_RNA from 1 species
UUUUACAUGAUGAAUCCUGAUGGGUCUGGAGGUCCUGAACUCAGUGUUUACUUGCUUAGAGUUUAAUUUUAUGGCCAUUAAGUGGGUAGCAUCAGCAAUCCAUCCACUUCAUUGGUGCUUUUGUUUAGUGCUUCUGAUCUCCUUUUUAGCAGUUUAGCCAAGGUUUUAAUCGGAAGAAAAGGUAAAGAGGGGUCACUUCACUUCACCAUGUGGCUUUUGU